rnacentral:rRNA from 6 species
AGAGUUUGAUCAUGGCUCAGAUUGAACGCUGGCGGCAGGCCUAACACAUGCAAGUCGAACGGUAACAGGAAGAAGCUUGCUUCUUUGCUGACGAGUGGCGGACGGGUGAGUAAUGUCUGGGAAACUGCCUGAUGGAGGGGGAUAACUACUGGAAACGGUAGCUAAUACCGCAUAACGUCGCAAGACCAAAGAGGGGGACCUUCGGGCCUCUUGCCAUCGGAUGUGCCCAGAUGGGAUUAGCUUGUUGGUGGGGUAACGGCUCACCAAGGCGACGAUCCCUAGCUGGUCUGAGAGGAUGACCAGCCACACUGGAACUGAGACACGGUCCAGACUCCUACGGGAGGCAGCAGUGGGGAAUAUUGCACAAUGGGCGCAAGCCUGAUGCAGCCAUGCCGCGUGUAUGAAGAAGGCCUUCGGGUUGUAAAGUACUUUCAGCGGGGAGGAAGGGAGUAAAGUUAAUACCUUUGCUCAUUGACGUUACCCGCAGAAGAAGCACCGGCUAACUCCGUGCCAGCAGCCGCGGUAAUACGGAGGGUGCAAGCGUUAAUCGGAAUUACUGGGCGUAAAGCGCACGCAGGCGGUUUGUUAAGUCAGAUGUGAAAUCCCCGGGCUCAACCUGGGAACUGCAUCUGAUACUGGCAAGCUUGAGUCUCGUAGAGGGGGGUAGAAUUCCAGGUGUAGCGGUGAAAUGCGUAGAGAUCUGGAGGAAUACCGGUGGCGAAGGCGGCCCCCUGGACGAAGACUGACGCUCAGGUGCGAAAGCGUGGGGAGCAAACAGGAUUAGAUACCCUGGUAGUCCACGCCGUAAACGAUGUCGACUUGGAGGUUGUGCCCUUGAGGCGUGGCUUCCGGAGCUAACGCGUUAAGUCGACCGCCUGGGGAGUACGGCCGCAAGGUUAAAACUCAAAUGAAUUGACGGGGGCCCGCACAAGCGGUGGAGCAUGUGGUUUAAUUCGAUGCAACGCGAAGAACCUUACCUGGUCUUGACAUCCACAGAACCUUGUAGAGAUACGAGGGUGCCUUCGGGAACUGUGAGACAGGUGCUGCAUGGCUGUCGUCAGCUCGUGUUGUGAAAUGUUGGGUUAAGUCCCGCAACGAGCGCAACCCUUAUCCUUUGUUGCCAGCGGUCCGGCCGGGAACUCAAAGGAGACUGCCAGUGAUAAACUGGAGGAAGGUGGGGAUGACGUCAAGUCAUCAUGGCCCUUACGACCAGGGCUACACACGUGCUACAAUGGCGCAUACAAAGAGAAGCGACCUCGCGAGAGCAAGCGGACCUCAUAAAGUGCGUCGUAGUCCGGAUUGGAGUCUGCAACUCGACUCCAUGAAGUCGGAAUCGCUAGUAAUCGUGGAUCAGAAUGCCACGGUGAAUACGUUCCCGGGCCUUGUACACACCGCCCGUCACACCAUGGGAGUGGGUUGCAAAAGAAGUAGGUAGCUUAACCUUCGGGAGGGCGCUUACCACUUUGUGAUUCAUGACUGGGGUGAAGUCGUAACAAGGUAACCGUAGGGGAACCUGCGGUUGGAUCACCU